GACGAACGCUGGCGGCGUGCUUAACACAUGCAAGUCGAACGCUGAAGCUUGGUGCUUGCACUGGGUGGAUGAGUGGCGAACGGGUGAGUAAUAAGUGAGUAACCUGCCCUUGACUCUGGGAUAAGCCUGGGAAACUGGGUCUAAUACUGGAUACGACAUGUCACCGCAUGGUGGUGUGUGGAUAGGGUUUUACUGGUUUUGGAUGGGCUCACGGCCUAUCAGCUUGUUGGUGGGGUAAUGGCUCACCAAGGCGACGACGGGUAGCCGGCCUGAGAGGGUGACCGGCCACACUGGGACUGAGACACGGCCCAGACUCCUACGGGAGGCAGCAGUGGGGAAUAUUGCACAAUGGGCGGAAGCCUGAUGCAGCGACGCCGCGUGAGGGAUGACGGCCUUCGGGUUGUAAACCUCUUUCAGCACGGAAGAAGCGAAAGUGACGGUACGUGCAGAAGAAGCGCCGGCUAACUACGUG
rnacentral:rRNA from 1 species